AUUUUUUUUUUUUUUUGAAAAAGAUGUCAGUUUUUAGAGGAUAUGGUUGAUGAUGAUGUUGAUUUAUAUUUCAAUGUUGAGUAUUUUGCGUUAGUACCAGAUCAAAAAGUUUAGAGACAUUUGAUAGCAAAUGAUUUCACUUGUAAGUUGUAGGGCUCAAUAGCCAAAAAAAAGAGUGUAAAAUUCAAGCGUGAAAAUAUAGGUUAUUCCAUAAAAAUGGAUCAUAUAAAGCGAAGUUGUUUGUUCAAUUAACGUCCUCUGACUACAUUUUCUCCUCUGUAGGUGAGCAUACAAGUCUUUUUGGACGUAGUGGAAAUAUUGUGGCUGAAUCGAAUAGCUGCAAUGGACAUGGACUGGUCUGAAUCCAGGUACAAGCGACACAAAGAGAAGGAUGGUGUAGAUGACGAGGAUGGCACAGCAAAAUCAAGUAAGCAUUCUGGUAGAGACAAGGACAGGAGGAAAAGCAGCCGAGUAGAAGACAGGGACACGGAUCAUAGAAAUAAGGACAGAGAACGCACCAAGAGAACUACUGAUGAUAUCGCCAAAGAUGUGGAAAAAGAGCAAGAUGACUAUGUAGAUAAGGAGCGUGGCAAGGAUAGGAGUAGGGAUAGCAAGGCAAAGGAUAAAGAUCAUGAUCGUGACAAGUCUAGAGAGAAGGACCGUGAGCGUGAUAAGGAUAGGAAAGACCGAGGGAAGGAAAAGAGCAGGGAUAGGG
rnacentral:misc_RNA from 1 species